rnacentral:rRNA from 1 species
UGGGGAAUAUUGCACAAUGGGCGCAAGCCUGAUGCAGCGACGCCGCGUGGGGGAUGACGGCCUUCGGGUUGUAAACUCCUUUCGCUAGGGAAGAAGCUUUUUGUGACGGUACCUAGAUAAGAAGCACCGGCUAACUACGUGCCAGCAGCCGCGGUAAUACGUAGGGUGCGAGCGGUGUCCGGAAUUACUGGGCGUAAAGGGCUCGUAGGUGGUUUGUCGCGUCGUCUGUGAAAUUCCGGGGCUUAACUCCGGGCGUGCAGGCGAUACGGGCAUAACUUGAGUACUGUAGGGGUAACUGGAAUUCCUGGUGUAGCGGUGAAAUGCGCAGAUAUCAGGAGGAACACCGAUGGAGAAGGCAGGUUACUGGGCAGUUACUGACGCUGAGGAGCGAAAGCAUGGGUAGCGAACAGG